rnacentral:rRNA from 1 species
AGCAGCCGCGGUAAUUCCAGCUCCAAUAGCGUAUAUUAAAGUUGUUGCAGUUAAAAAGCUCGUAGUUGAAUUUCGGGGUUAGUAGAUUGGUCAUGCCUCUGGUAUGCACUGGUCUUACUGAUUCCUCCUUCCUGAUGAACCGUAAUGCCAUUAAUUUGGUGUUGCGGGGAAACUGGACUGUUACUUUGAAAAAUUAGAGUGUUUAAAGCAGGCUAACGCUUGAAUACAUUAGCAUGGAAUAAUGAAAUAGGACGUUCGAUCUUAUUUUGUUGGUUUCUAGGAUUGACGUAAUGAUUAAUAGGGAUAGUUGGGGGCAUUAGUAUUCAAUUGUCAGAGGUGAAAUUCUUGGAUUUAUUGAAGACUAACUACUGCGAAAGCAUUUGCCGAGGAUGUUUUCAUUAAUCAAGAACGAAAGUUAGGGGAUCGAAGACGAUCAGAUACCGUCGUAGUCUUAACCAUAAACUAUGCCGACUAGGGAUCGGAUGAUGUUAAUUUUAAUGACUCAUUCGGCGCCUUAAC